UGGUGGAAUUCCACUUGACUUUAUUUGCAAAGUUUUUUGCAAAUGUGAUUGUUUUACAAGUCUGUUUUUGCUGUCUUGUUUUUCUUUUAUGGUCACCUACUUUUUUAUAUAGCUCUUUUUGCCUUCAUCUUCAGUAACAGUUUCUGGUUUUGGUCAUGGAUGACUUUGUUCGCAAGAUAUUAAAUGACUGGGGUCUAAACGAGUGGAUAGGAACCUUUGAAGAUGGAGGCAUUAACAUGGAAAAUCUUUACUGCCUUGAGGAUCAAGACAUUGAAAAUUUGAUUUCCAAAGUGGGACCAAGAGCAUAUUUUAGAAAGCAACUAAAGCUGUUAAAGG